GUGAGACUUGCCCGUAGAGACAGACGCUUUCCCUACAGGAGUGCAGUUGCCUGUUUAAAAUGGUGAGGUUGGAGGGGUGUGUGUGGUGUGUCAUAGUCUAGUUCAGUAACGUCUUGAUGUAGGAAGGUAGGGGUUGCGUCAUCUAUAGUCUUCCCCACUGCUUUCUGUAAGUACCUUUGUAUGCAAGGAAACACACAACAGAUUAAAAACAAG